CAAUUGCCAUAUUUCUUUCUUGUACCAGAUGUUGAAGCUGACGAAGCUGAUGAAGCUGAUGGAGAAUCCGUUUUACUUGGGCCUUGUUGUUGUUGAGUUUGUGGUGAAGGUUUUUGUUGAGAUUGUUGUUGAGAUUGUUGUUGAGGUGUUACAGAUAAGAAUAAUUUCCAUCUACCAAUUUUAAGUUUUAUAUUUUCGAGACUUGUGAUUACGUUUUGUACCUGGCUCGAAUUAUAAUUCAGUAGUGACAAAUUUUUUUUGGAAUUAUCCUCCGCACUAUAAAAAAAUCGAAUUUUUUAAUAGGGUACUAUCACACAAUUUUUGUUUCAUACACACCAGUCAACCAAUAUAUGCAAAUUUAUAUUUAUGACGUUAAUUCAUGUAAUUUGAUUAGGUAACUUAUUAGAAAAAUGACUUACCAAAGCCCUUCGGCCCUUUUUCCAGCAAAAUCGGCGAGUCCACGGUUCAAAUCGGCGAUUAUUUUUUCUGGAGACGUUGGAAACAAAGUUUUCGGGCGAGUUAAAUGAAAUUUUCUGUGUUUUUGUUGUAUUCUUUGUUGGUUUUCUUGUUUUCUUUUUAAAAAAAUACCUGAGUCGGAAUCAUUUUCUGACAUUUUAUUUAAUUUUUUAUAGACUAUAUACUCAGGAUUACAUGGCCUGGAAAUGCCUAUGUAAUUUACAUAUAAACGAGUGAGACUCAAACAUGUUCUUCUUUUUCCAUCAAAUAUACCAGUGGCGCCACCAAUUUUACAUAUAAGCGCAUACAAAAUUUUCAAUAUGGCUGCGCCCAUGAGAGAGAAAAUUUCGUCUCAUUCAUUUCCGCCCCAUGCAGGAUUAUUUCAAAUCACCAAAAUUCUACGACGAUGACAAAGCUGUCUUCACAUUCAAUUGUUUCGCAGUAGCUGACAUUAUGACUACCAUUUAAAAAAAAUUCUGAGUCGUCUCCAUUACAUACACAUCGUACCAAUACCAUCAAAUCGCUGUUAUGAAUCGUAUGCCUUGGUGAAUGAAGAAAGAGAUGGUAUGAGUGUGUUGGUGUGCAUUUGUGUGUAUUAUAUUUGCCUUCAAACGUUCACAUUUGUCAUUUUGCAUUCUUUCCGUGUAAUGUACCAGAUUCAAAUGGAUAGAGCGUGUGAAGUAUACAAAUGAUUGUAUUUAUCAUUAAACUCUUGCGUGUGUUGUGUAUAGACUUCGCACGGUUCACAAAUACAUUGCACAACAACAAACAACACAUAACUAACUUCACAUUAAACCAGUCCAAAAAUAAACUUUCUUCAAAAAUAUUCGUUGUCGAAUGCAUGUAAACACAUUAAGAUGUUUUAUUUUGUUAUAAAAUGAGGAGUAAAUAAAUGUGUUUAUGUUGCAAAAAAUGACAAAAUUUCAGUUCGCGUUCAGUUACGUUUUACCUCAAAAAAUCAAAAUGGAAUGCAUUGCUGUUGUAAUUCGGAAUAAUGAUACAUUUCAUUUUAAUUUCUUUCUUUUGUAGGAAUUAUGUAUUUGCUGCAGCCAUGGCGUAUUUGAAAUUACACUGGAAGAUGGAAAGAAGUCCACCAAAAUACUGAGAUGAAAAGCACGAAGUAUUGAUUAAAUAUAUCGAAGAAGUUCAUCGCGGUGUAUUUGGAUAUGUUCGAAGUUCGAUCGGAAAUCAAUUUAAAAUGCCCCAAUCACGAUUCAAAAUAACACUCAUGUCACUUAUACGUGGAAGACGGGCGAAUUUUGGAGAUUAUUACUAUCGGGACGAUACAAUAUAACAUUCGAAGCGGAAGGUUUUGAAUCUCACACCUGAACAUUACAAUUACUGAACAGGAUAAAAUAUUGAGAUACGAUAUCAGUCUAAUGCAUGACGACCCGCAACAUUGGUCGUCCGCGUACGAUUAUCGAAUUCUUCACAAUGUCAUACAGGCGAGAUAUCACACCGAUGAUCAAAUAAACCAAACCUUUGCUGAAAUUGAGCGAAAGUUCGGGACAAUUGCCAACUUUGAAGCAAAUGAAAACGAGAUAUCGAUUGACUUUCCAUCUUUAACCCUUACAGCAGAUGUAAGGCCGUGACUUGGCCACAUGCGCACGGUUUUUUGAUCAGGGGGGAGUCAAAUUGACUUUGGUCCCGAGGGGGGGGAAAGGGGUAUUUAUAUGGAAAACUAAAAUACAAAUUUUGCAUGAGAGAAACAAGCAAAAAUGUGUGUUGGCGAGCGAAGCGAGGCGAAAUUUUGCAAGUUUGACUUCAAAGUCAGUUUAUUUAUACAUUUAUAUUGCAAAUCUGAGAAAAAAAAAUUCUCAGAGGGGGUCAAACCGGUAAAUCUCCUAAAAAUUUAAACGGGGGUAAAUUUUGAAAAAUUUGCCUCAGGUGGGGGUCAAACCGGAAAACCCCCCAGCGCGCAUGUGUGCCGUGAAAUGGCUGUGAAUUUGGCACGACAUGUUGUUGUCGGUUAUUCGCUGCAAGAUCCACCAUUAAUUCGUUUAUUGAAGAAUUCGGUGCUGCAUUUCAUACCGUUUACUUAUGAUUUCAAAUUCGUUCUCGGUCAAUUCUCAAGCAACCAAAGUGUAUUGUCAAUACAAUAUACAAUAUGAAACAGUGUCCCACCAGAAUGAUUGUUCUUUGAAUAUUCAAACAAUUAUACAAUUUAAUUGUUUUACAAAACUACUGUAUUUUACAUUAAAAAAAUAAAUACAAAAAAUCUUUCGA